UACAGAGGUCUCAAGCGUUGUUCGGAUUCAUUGGGCGUAAAGGGUGCGUAGGUGGCGCGGUAAGUCGGGUGUGAAAUUUCGGAGCUUAACUCCGAAACUGCAUUCGAUACUGCCGUGCUUGAGGACUGGAGAGGAGACUGGAAUUUACGGUGUAGCAGUGAAAUGCGUAGAUAUCGUAAGGAAGACCAGUGGCGAAAGCGGGUCUCUGGACAGUUCCUGACACUGAGGCACGAAGGCCAGGGGAGCAAACGGG
rnacentral:rRNA from 1 species